UGGGGAAUCUUGGACAAUGGGGGCAACCCUGAUCCAGCCAUGCCGCGUGAGUGAUGAAGGCCCUAGGGUCGUAAAGCUCUUUCGCCUGUGAAGAUAAUGACGGUAGCAGGUAAAGAAACCCCGGCUAACUCCGUGCCAGCAGCCGCGGUAAUACGGAGGGGGUUAGCGUUGUUCGGAAUUACUGGGCGUAAAGCGCACGUAGGCGGACCAGAAAGUUGGGGGUGAAAUCCCGGGGCUCAACCCCGGAACUGCCUCCAAAACUAUUGGUCUAGAGUUCGAGAGAGGUGAGUGGAAUUCCGAGUGUAGAGGUGAAAUUCGUAGAUAUUCGGAGGAACACCAGUGGCGAAGGCGGCUCACUGGCUCGAUACUGACGCUGAGGUGCGAAAGUGUGGGGAGCAAACAGGAUUAGAUACCCGCGUAGUCC
rnacentral:rRNA from 1 species